rnacentral:rRNA from 1 species
GCCUAACCGUAAACUUUUAAUUACACCAUUUAUUCGCCUGGGAACUACGAGCAAAGCUUAAAACCCAAAGGACUUGACGGUACCCCAAAUCCACCUAGAGGAGCCUGUCCUAUAAUCGAUACCCCCCGUUUAACCUCACCACCUCUAGCUACUCAGCCUGUAUACCUCCGUCGUCAGCUUACCACGUGAGCGUACAUUAGUGAGCUUAAUGCCAAUACGCCAACACGUCAGGUCAAGGUGCAGCAUAUGAGGCGGGAAGAGAUGGGCUACACUUUCUAAUUUAGAAUAUACAAAAGACUACCUAUGAAACCUAGUCCGAAGGCGGAUUUAGAAGUAAAAAGAAACAAGAGUGUUCUCUUUAACUAGGCACUGGGGUGUGUACACACCGCCCGUCACCCUCUUCAAAGCUUACAAAAAGUUUUUAACCAAUUUAUGCUAAACAGAAGAGGCAAGUCGUAACAUGGUAAGUAUACCGGAAGGUGUGCUUGGAAA